GCCUCCGUGGCGCAGUUGGAAGGGCGAUGGCCCCGACAAGGCCAGAGGUCGCAGGUUCGAGUCCUGUCGGAGGUG
rnacentral:tRNA from 1 species